rnacentral:rRNA from 1 species
GAGGAAGAGAAAGAAAAUUCGAUUCCCUUAGUAGCGGCGAGCGAAACGGGAAGAGCCCAAACCAACAAGCUUGCUUGUUGGGGUUGUAGGACACUCUAUACGGAGUUACAAAGGACGACAUUAGACGAAUCAUCUGGAAAGAUGAAUCAAAGAAGGUAAUAAUCCUGUAGUCGAAAAUGUUGUCUCUCUUGAGUGGAUCCUGAGUACGACGGAGCACGUGAAAUUCCGUCGGAAUCUGGGAGGACCAUCUCCUAAGGCUAAAUACUCUCUAGUGACCGAUAGUGAACCAGUACCGUGAGGGAAAGGUGAAAAGCACCCCGGAAGGGGAGUGAAAUAGAACCUGAAACCGUGUGCUUACAAGUAGUCAGAGCCCGUUAAUGGGUGAUGGCGUGCCUUUUGUAGAAUGAACCGGCGAGUUACGAUUUGAUGCAAGGUUAAGCAGUAAAUGUGGAGCCGUAGCGAAAGCGAGUCUGAAUAGGGCGUUUAGUAUUUGGUCGUAGACCCGAAACCAGGUGAUCUACCCUUGGUCAGGUUGAAGUUCAGGUAACACUGAAUGGAGGACCGAACCGACUUACGUUGAAAAGUGAGCGGAUGAACUGAGGGUAGCGGAGAAAUUCCAAUCGAACCUGGAGAUAGCUGGUUCUCUCCGAAAUAGCUUUAGGGCUAGCCUCAAGUGAUGAUUAUUGGAGGUAGAGCACUGUUUGGACGAGGGGCCCCUCUCGGGUUACCGAAUUCAGACAAACUCCGAAUGCCAAUUAAUUUAACUUGGGAGUCAGAACAUGGGUGAUAAGGUCCGUGUUCGAAAGGGAAACAGCCCAGACCACCAGCUAAGGUCCCAAAAUAUAUGUUAAGUGGAAAAGGAUGUGGCGUUGCCCAGACAACUAGGAUGUUGGCUUAGAAGCAGCCAUCAUUUAAAGAGUGCGUAAUAGCUCACUAGUCGAGUGACACUGCGCCGAAAAUGUACCGGGGCUAAACAUAUUACCGAAGCUGUGGAUUGUCCUUUGGACAAUGGUAGGAGAGCGUUCUAAGGGCGUUGAAGCAUGAUCGUAAGGACAUGUGGAGCGCUUAGAAGUGAGAAUGCCGGUGUGAGUAGCGAAAGACGGGUGAGAAUCCCGUCCACCGAUUGACUAAGGUUUCCAGAGGAAGGCUCGUCCGCUCUGGGUUAGUCGGGUCCUAAGCUGAGGCCGACAGGCGUAGGCGAUGGAUAACAGGUUGAUAUUCCUGUACCACCUAUAAUCGUUUUA